CUCCUACGGGUGGCAGCAGUAAGGAAUAUUGGACAAUGCCCGCAAGGGUGAUCCAGCCAUGCCGCGUGCAGGAAGACGGCCCUAUGGGUUGUAAACUGCUUUUACACCGGAGAAAACCCCACUACGUGUAGUGGGCUGAUAGUAUGGUGAGAAUAAGCAUCGGCUAACUUCGUGCCAGCAGCCGCGGUAAGACGAAGGAUGCAAGCGUUAUCCGGAUUCAUUGGGUUUAAAGGGAGCGUAGGUGGACUGAUAAGUCAGUGGUGAAAUCUCCGAGCUUAACUCGGAAAUUGCCAUUGAUACUGUUGGUCUUGAGUAUAGUCGCCGUUGGCGGAAUAUGACAUGUAGUGGUGAAAUACAUAGAGAUGUCAUAGAACACCGAUUGCGAAGGCAGCUGACGAAACUAUAACUGACACUGAGGCUCGAAAGUGUGGGGAUCAAACAGGAUUAGAUACCCUGGUAGUCCACACUGUAAACGAUGAUUACUCGCUGCUAGAGGGCGACUUUUAGUGGCUUAGCGAAAGCGAUAAGUA
rnacentral:rRNA from 1 species